AGAAAGACACAGAAGAGAUUUGCUUCCAGUGCCGAAUGAUUUGGUUCAUGAAUCCUCUGCUAUGGGACCUGCAGGACCUCGGAAGAGACCCUCCAGCACAGUGCUCUGCUGGACCAAUUGGGGAUGACUUGUUUCAUUGGCAGUCGACCAUUAUGGGUCCAGCUGAUUCUCCAUACCAAGGAGGAGUUUUCUUUCUCACAAUCAACUUCCCCACCGACUACCCAGUCAAGCCACCACUUGUAUCAUUUACAACAAAGAUUUAUC